ensembl:lncRNA
CUCGGGACUCUGCGCUGUGGGGUUCCGCGCCGCCGCGCGGGAAGGGCUGGGCGCCAUGUUUGCGGAAAGAGGCUGCAGCACCAACCCGUGGGCCUCUCGGCCCCUGGCCCUCAGGCGAGGGGCGCCUGACUUCUCCAGAAGGGCGUCCUCGCGCCCUCCUGAGGGAGACCCUGCAGCUCUGUGGUUGAGGAGCCUCAGAAACGGGGUUUCUGGCCCUUGGCCAUGGGUUCCAGGACCUUCAGGGAAACACGGGGAGCUGAGAGAGAAGCAGGGCCGGACGCCAGUUUAAGCACCGAAAACGUCCCAGUCAGGACCCUUGAUGGAGGGCGCAAGAGACCUCAGUGUGGGGCCCUCUGGGUUCAUCCCAAAUGCCUGUUGACUGAAAAAAAACACACGACCUAAAAGUCGGGAGUUAUGUUUUAUUCCUUGGACAAAACUGAGGACUUGAGCCCAGGACGCAGCAUCCCAGAUAACUGAGGGACUGCCCCGAAGAGAUCUUUGGUGAAGACUGAGCGUGGAGGACACAUGAGCCUCCGACCGCAGGCACUCAGGCAGCUGACACCUGGACCAGCAGGACUUCCGGGUAUUGCCGUCUUGGAACAGGUAAGGCAUUGCCAGGGUUGCCUCGGUCUUGUAGAGGCAACACCCCUCUAAACUUUUAUGAGACGCGGCAGUUAGUGGAACCUCUUUACUUGUUUAUUUGACUGCACCUCCUGGCUUUCAGGAUCUCACUUCCCUGACGAGCAGUUGAGCCUGGGGCUGCCGCAGUGAAAACGCUGAGUGCUAACCACUGGGCCACUGGGGAAGUCCCAGCGCCACUUUACCUGCAUGAACGAUGCUCGCUGUCACUUCUCUCGGCCAGUCUGGGUCGCAGCCGUUGCAGAUCACAUCUGUGAUGAAGGCCUGAGACACAGCCAUCAGAGGCAGGGAUUUCGUUACAUUUAGGUCAUAGAGAUCGAGUGAGUGAGAAAGCUGCAUCCGCUAGGGUUUUUUUCAAGUGUAGGUGGCAGACACAGAUGUGAAACCAUCUUCUGCCCAAAAGGAGAGCAGACGGGCUUGUACAGAGAAGACCGGAGCCCCGACGUCCCCCUCCACCUCUCAGCUCUGCAGGCGCGGGCCCCACCCGUGGAUGGGCUGGGCCCUCAGCGCAAGUGCCGUGACUGAAUCUCCUUAGACCAUCCUGGGUCACGCGCCUGUCCUCGAAUCAGCCACUGUUUUUAAAAUGAGUUAAUGUCAGGAGUUCCCCGGCUGUCUGGUGAUUAGGACUCAGAGCUUUCACUGCUGUGGGUUCAGUCCCUGGUCGGGGAACUAAGAUCCGGCAAGCCGUGUGGCUCGGUCAAAAAAAGAAAAGAAAAAGUUAACGCAAAAGCAUUAACCCAUGUAUCUAGGAGCUUAAACAAUACUCCUAAAUAAUAUGCGUCAAAGAAGAGGUUGUGAGUGGAUUGACAGAAUAUUCAGGACUUCCCAUUGGCAGCCACUCAUUCACUUUCUGCUUCUAUGGUUCAUCUUGUCCUGGUUCAGCGUUUCCUACAGAUGGGCUGACGUUCUGUGGCCUUUCAUGUCCGGCCUCCUCCCUCGGCGUUCGAGGCUCAUCUGUGCUGUGGCCUGGGUCAGUGCUUUUCCCUCUUGGAGGAACCCAUUCUUGCUCGUUCAACACUUGGGAGGAUUAAGUGACAUCCCACUUGCAGAAGGGCCUCCUUUAGGGCCUGUCCCGUACGAGGUGCUUAGAGUCCCCUUCCCCUCAUGAGUCAUUGAGUGUCACUGGCAGUGCCCUGCGCACAGGCCCUCGCAUGAUCCGUGACACCAGCCACUCCAUGCGCCGGGCCUUGCAAGAAGCAGAAAGACCAGGAGAGGCUCGGUCCCUGAGUCCCCUCGAUGCCGAGUCUGGCAUCAGAGCAGCGUCC